AAAAUAAACCUUACUCUUUUCGGCCACUAUUUUCGUCACAUAUGUAAGAUUUUUAAAUUAAAAAAAAAAAUAAAACCAAAGUACAUGAUGUGCACACAAUUUAAUUAUGUUUUUUUUUUUCUUUUUGUAUGCAUGACGUUCACAAAAGAUUUGAAUUUUCAAACACUAGCAUACGUUUACCGCGAUUACUUUUAAUAUAUUUUGUCAUUUUAACACAUGAGUACCUACGCGACUGCAUUACACACACACACACACACACACACACACACUAUACACGACUCUGCAGUAGCCGGUUAGCAAAAGUAAUUUAUAAACAACAGAAAAUUCUGUAUAUUAUAAAUAUAUUAUAAAGGUACAACAUUUUUAGAAAGAUAAUGGAUAAAUUCAUCAAAAAGCAAACGUUUAGAUUAACAACGGUUGAUAUCAUUUUAACGCGAUCAAUAAUAGCCGUACGAUCUCACGUCGGGCGAUCCCGUACGGAUCCGAUAACGUUUAUUUUGUAAUGUACGCCGUGCGUUUUUCUUUCGCGGCUUUUACACCGGUGACCGAAAACGGUUAUUACGGAACGGCCGGAAACGGUUACGCCCGAAUAAACGUUGUCGCAUUGUAUUUUCUGCGUCGUUCGAUGUCGCCUUCGGACGAGAGAAACACUGCGGUACGCAUAGAAAACCGACGCGUUACGGGUUCUAUUAAAAAAAAAAAAAAAAAAUGAACCGAAAAAAGACCAAAACAAAAACCAAACCGACAGAAAAACGUCGAGAGACCGGCCGAAUCCGGUAAACAAAUACCGAUGUCUACGCAUUAGGCCGGCGCUACGGUACGGCGCACAAAAGACGCGGGCGCUCGUAUACGAGGUUUGACUAUUAAAUAACGAGACUGCGCGCGCAGAGAGCGUCCCAGAAAGGUUAGGGGAAAACCGAAUACAGCGCUGGUUAGCUGGAAGUGUCUAUUGUGCCGGUACGAAAUUGG